UUUCUGCUUUUUUUUUUGUAUGUUGCCUGCUGCUGUAUCUUUGCUCACCACCAGAUGUUGCGGUAUGCUUAGCUGUGAAUUUUCUCUGUUAGAGCAUCUCCACUCGUGACCUUCAUAUGACGUCCAGCGCCUGACCGUAUGGAGGGUGCUGGCGGGUAACCCUAAAUAGGGGGCAUCGGUUCCCAGCCGCAUCCCUCAAAUUCAAAAGUUAAAAACAUACGCCGAUUUGAUUUCGUGCCCAUAAAAGGAUCAUUGUCUCACAUAUCGUCGCAAAUGACAAGUCUAAAUGAACACAUCGUCGCAAAUCGCGGUAUAGAAAUGUCCAGUGAACCAAAAAAAAGGGGGCAUGCGGGCCGGUCGGCAUCGCGGGAAUCAAGCAAUUUCCUCAACAAGGGAAUCAGGGACGAUGGUGGGUGUCGUCAGCGUAGCGAUCGGCGAUGGCGGCGAGGCAGUCGACGGGGAAGCAUCAGUUGCCGGUGGAGUAGUAUCCGUCGCUGGAGUCGCGGUGCUGGGCUGGGGCGCGGGUGGAGCUCGACUCUCGGCUAGGAUCGUGGCGCGCUGCGCGGCGCACCACGCCUUGACGUCGUCUUCCAUGCCGCUGGUGUCGACGAUCAGGAUCGCCAGGUCCUCCUUCCUUUUCUUGGCGACGAUGUUGGCCUUGAUCAGGUCGAGCUUGAUGUCCUGUCUCUCCAAGACCGACGCCCACCUUGUCGAUGCUCAAUGUCUUCCAUGCCUCGGCGAGGCACUCGUCCUCCCUCGAGCUCCACUUUGGCCCGCGCCCACUGGUCUUCUUCCUCGGGUUUGCCGCGGUAGAGCCCGACGUGGUGACGGCCUUCUUUUUCUUGCCUUUGGGGUCGACAACGGACGGCGCGAUCUCUUCGGGAGCCUCGGCGUAGGUGUACACGUCGUUCUCCCACCCAACAUCGUCGCCUUCUUACUCAUCAUCGGCGUACGCCUCGGCUUCCUGCGGAAUGAAGGACGGCGGCCCGUUGGUGCCAUCGAUGAUCAUGUCCUCUAUGAUGGCGUCGCCGGGCAUCACGCCGAAUGGCGCUUGCGCGCAACUGCUCGCGGCGAACUGCUGGUAGCCGGGGUGAGGGCCACGACGAGGAGGAGGCCCUCCUCGGCUGUAGAGAGUGCGCCCGAGCUCAGGUCAUCCGGCCAGCAUGUGCAGGUCGCCGGCGGCGAAAGUGUUUGGGGCGGCGAAGGUGUUGGGGUUAAACCCACCGAGCGGGUCAAAAUCGUGGCAGCUCGGCGAGAAGCGUGACAUGUGGGGUGGGUUACUUUGGGCUUCAUGGAACAAAGGCAGCGGCGACAUGGUGGACGGUGAUGGCGAGGAGACGCUGCCCUGGCUGCCGCUCCACGCGGCGGUGACGAACGGAUGCGUCGGGGUGUGGGGUGCCGCCAUGGCAGCGGCCCGUUCCAUCAGCUUCGCCUCCUUCUUCGCUGCUGCCGCAACCCUCUUCGCCUUCAGCUUCGUCUCCUCGAGCGGCGGCUGAGGUUCUCCAUUGUACGCCGCUGGAUGUCGAACGCCCACUCGGCGUUGGUCAUCCCCGUGGCCGCUCCUUGACGACGGGUGCCCGCACUUCGCGGGAGCAGGCUUGGCGGUGAGGACAUCCGGCGCUAACGUGCGUGGAGCGACGUACUGCCUCGUCUUCAUGGCUGGACGGCGGAGCAAGGGGAUGGCUAGCGCGGUUGCGCUGGUGAAAUAGCGGGAAUUGGCCGAGGGAGAAGGGGAACGGGGUGGUAUGGCUCCAAGAAUGGUGGGAAAGCUAAUGAUUUUGGCUUUUAGCGCCAUCCGGCGCCCCUGAUAACCUCCCGCUGGAUUGGGUUCGGCCUGGGGGCGCCGGAUGAAAAUACGCACCACCUCGGCGCGAAAACAAUUUUGGAGCAUGCUGCGUCGGCGCCCCUAUUUUCGUUUUGGGGUGGGCUAUAAGGAGGGCAAGUGGAGAUGCUCUUAGUAUUUUUUUUUUGUCUGCUGCUUGUGUAUGCUUAUUGCUGAUGGUAAGCCGCUGUUUUAGUGCUAUGAUCAGACGCUUCAACUUUCAUCUGUAACUUUGUCUCCUUUUUUGAAGACUAGUUAUCCACAUGAAUCAUGUCUGUAUUUGGAUGUAGUUUUUCAGCUUUAACAUACACCGGCUGAUGAAAACAGCCUGUGUGUUUUGCUUUGGUUUGUUUUUCUUAAGUUUUCCCUGAGCAUCAAUUGUGUGGAAGUGCAUAGUUUUGUUAAGAAUGUGUCAAUUAGGAAGUCAAUUUUAACUGUAACUUCCACAGUUUUGAUGCAAGUACUUGCAGUUUUGGAAGUGAACUGUACCAGCCUACCACGGGAUAGAAAAACGGUAGAAAUUUUGAGACAAUUUUGCAUGUACAUCUACAAUCUGCUAUAAUUUUGCUUAGGUGGUUGGGAAAGUAACCUGGUGUGCUAUUUGAAUCCCCUUUGCGGGACUCGAUCACUUUCUUUAAAUAGAAGGUUCGGUAAUUGUCGGGUGAGCAGGCCGUAUUACUUCCUAACUAGCUACUAGGCACAAAGUAGCCACACCCAUUUGUAAAUAUAAGAUUGUUGUGUCAUUUUUUGGACUUGUGCAUCGGAAUAAUUUUUCACUCAUGGCUGGAGUUUCCCUCUUCAUGUUUCUUCCUGAUAUAUAUACUAAUUGUGUGAACUUUCAUGUUUAAGGGUCGGAGAAUCAUGGAAGGACAUGAGGGGCAUGAACUCAGGCGAAAGGCGAUUUCUAACCUGAAAAAAGAUCCACUCCGUUCUUACCUACGAUCUUGCAUUUUCGGGAAAAGCUGGUACGGACUAUUACAUUACAAACAAACACAGAUAUAAAACCAUUGAUGGGUACGUGGAGGAUAUUGUACAUAUUUUUCAAUAUUAUCAUAUCCAUCGAUGUGUUUAUAUCGGACAUUCUAUUUCUGGUAUGAUUGGCAUUAUAGGUUCGAGUCGCCAUAGUGAUCUUUAUUACCAACUCAGUCUUAUCCGUACUGCCCCUUGGUAAGUAAUAAAUAUUCAUCUUUCCCAACAGUAUAAAUAUCAUGUAAUCAUAAAUAUUGUGUACUUAUCCUAUUUUUUUAUACAAUUCACAUAUGAAGUUAGACCUAAAUACAAGAUAGCAUAUUGAAGGAAAAAGGAAAAAACAGACCUUGAACUCAUGAAAGUAGAUUUUAAAGCGUUUGUGGAAGGGUAUAUCAAGAUUGUGGUGAACUUCUAUUCGGUUUUCGGAAGCGCAAUCUCGAUAUACCCUUCCACAAACGUUUUGAAAUCUACUUUCAUGAGUUCAAUGCUCUGUUUUUUUCCUUUUUCUUUGAAUAUGCUAUCUUGUAUUUAGGUCUAUCUACAUAGCUCCAUUGUAUAAAAGAAUAGGAUAGGUGCACAAUAUCUAUAAUUGCAUGAUAUUUAUACUGUUGGGAAAGAUGUAUAUUUGUUACUUAACAAGGGCAGUGCCGAUAAGAAUGAGUUGGUAAAAAAGAUCACUGUGGCGACUGGAACCUACAAUGUCAAUCAUACCAGAAACAGAAUGUCCGACAUAAACACAUCGAUGGAUAUGAUAAUACUGAAAAAAUAUGUACAAUAUCCUCCACGUACACAUCAAUGGUUUCAUAUCUGUGUUUGUUGGUAAUGUAAUAGUAUGUACCAACUUUGCCCGAAAAGGCAAGAUCAUAGGUAAGAACGGCACUAAAGUUGAAAUGUGGAUCUUUUUUCAGGUUAGAAAUCGUCUUUCGCCACACAGUUUGGUCACAACCAAAUCAGUAGGAGAGCACUAAAACCGGUAAGCCCCCCUCCACCCCAUGUAAUUCACAUUCAUUAUGUGUUCAUGGCCCUCAUGUCCUUGCAUGAUUCUCCGGCCCUUAAACAUGAAAGUUCACACAAUUAAUACAUACAUCAGGGAGAAACAUGCAGAGGGAGACUCUAGCCAUGACGAAGACAAUGAAAAAUUAUCCAAAUGCAUAAGUUCAAAAGAUGACACAACAAUCUUAUAUUUACAAAUGGGUGUGGCUCCUUUGUGCCUAGUAGCUAGCUAGGAAGUAAUACGACCUGCUCACCCGACAAUUACCGAACCUUCAAUUUAAGGAAAGUGAUCGAGUCCCGCAAAGGGGAUUCAAAUAGCACACCAGGUUACUUCACUACAGGAAUGGCCUGACUUUGCUGCGUGCUGCCGGCCACCUCCUCGGCUCCUCCUUCCAUCCGCCGCCGUUGCCGGAGAUGGAGGCGUCGGCGUACAAGUUCGGACCCUACACGAUCGAUGCGAAGGAGGUCUUCCACGCCACGGCCCUCUCCUACGCCAUGGUCAACCUCCGCCCUGUCCUCCCUGGUCAUAUCCUUUAUUUCGACAAAGUCAUCACUGAGAUUUACAAUUAAAUGCUAAUUACAUUCCUUGAUUGACUGUACAUAAACUUUGGCUCUCGCUUAUUUUAAAGGGUGUCCAUGGUCCAUGGUCCAAAGUCCAAACACAUACAGUAGAAACCAAAGAUCUGACUCAAAAAAUGAAAAUUAUAUGGUCUAUACCCCUCUUUCAGUUUCCACAGAUCUGUAAAUUGCAUGGCUAGUGGAAAUAUGAAUAUCAAGCAUGUCAAGAGAAUUAUCCUAGAGUUAUAUAUCCAUAAAAGUGAAUGGUUCAUUUAAAAUAUGGUUAAUCAUCUCUUGUUGGAACCGUUUUAUUGCUUUUUUUGCGGGUUCAAGAGCUUUAUUGAUUACUCGACAGGAUUACAAUCACUCCGAAGAGUAUUAGCGAGAAAACCUAGGUUAUAGUUAAUCCACAGGCAUCUCCUCCUAUUUGAACUAGCUUGUUUAGCACAAAGAUGAGCUGCGUUAUUAGCAUCAUGCCCAACAAAACUAAUGCUUAAGCUAGGUAAAGCUCGUCUAAUCUCAGCUACUUCCUGGCAAAUCGCCAUGAUCUCCGAUCUAUUCUGCAAGUCAUCAUUGCAAAUAUUGAUCACUUCCUUUGCAUCGCUCUGUAAAAUGGCAUGUGUAAAACCUCUCUCUGCCGCUAGGGUAGCCCCAUCUCUGAUUGCAAGUGCCUCCAUAAGCCGUUUUAUUGCUGGUAGGCUGAUUACAUCGCAGUUUGAAAUAUUGUCUUUACUUUUGUGUUUCAUCACUUUAUGCACCGACUAGUUCACCCGAAAGAUUUGCUUCUCAAUGAAAGGUGGGAAAUGUAUAAUACAACAAUUACAAUUAGAUAC